CGGGCCCCCGCGGCCGCCGCGUCCCCGCCGCCGCUCUCCUGCUUGACGGCCUGGACCACCCCGGUCACCGGGGCGCCGUCGCCGGUCGGGCUCGGCGCGUACACUCGGCUGCCGAGGAUGGAGCGCUUCACCAGGCGCCGGCAUGAAGCGGCUCGGCUGGUAAACAACGUCAAGGAGCGGCAGCCCUGACAAAACGUCCGGAAGCGGGAACAUACUCGACGGGCUGCACUCUCGAACGGACGCCGUCGUCUUCGUCGACUUCCACGGAAGGCGCAAGGCAAACAAUUCUCUCCGCGUCCCAAACCGGCUGCCAAUCUUCCUCCUCCUCCAGUUUUUUUCCUCCCCUCGACCUGUUUGUUUUCGCUGCCUGCCUCGCUAGCUGAGAGAGAGGUCGGCGAGAAAACGCGGAGCUUCCGGCGCCAUCAUGUCACCCGUUCACGAUUGAACAAAAUGGCGGCUGGCUGGUCGAACAACCUUCUUCUCGUCGACGAAUUCGUUUCAAAUCGUCGAGUUAAACUCUUCCACUCGACGCCAUUCGCUGUCGUACAUUCGUAUGCGGUGAAAUGGGUUGAAAACACAAGAUUUUGUGGGCUCCGCGUCCAGUUGGGGCUGACUCCAGUCCUGACUCGGCUCCAGCCUUAACCGGCGGAAUGCUGCCCGUAAACAUGUGCGGUCCCGCGGUCGAGACGCUCCGCCAUUGGCCACCGGAGCACACGCCUCCACAAGCCCCCACCCGCACACCGCUCCCUUCUCUCCCCGCCCCUCGCGGUCCUCCUCCCGGCUUGCUCUCUCGCCUUCUGUCAGGCCCGCUCCAUUCAAAACAAUGACGCAAGGAAGGAGAGGAAGUGAGGGAGGGAAGGAAGGAGGGAGAAAGGGGUGAAAAUGGAGAAGACAGACACACUUUAUGCUUUAACCCAGUUUGUAGACGUGUAGCCUACUUUUUGUGUGUCAUGGGAUUUACCAAAUUACCACUUAAUGAUCUUGAGAUGGCAGCACAAAAAACGGCAGUCUCUUGUUUUUGUGAAUGUAAACAAAUCAGACUAUUCAUGAUGGUUUCAUUCUAUUAAAGUACAAAUUUCCAUUUUCA